CCCUGCAGGUGCCCGGUCCUGACUCACUAGACAAAAUUGUCUCUUUCCUGCAGCAGGGGAAUUCUCCCGCUGGCUCUCUGCCCCGCACCCUGCCCUCUCGCUGGGCUCGGGCACGCCGUCUGCCUCCGCAGCUCCAGCUGAAGCCUCCACGGGCCUGGCCUCCGCCAGUCAGCGGAGGAAAGUGGGUGCUCUCCCCAGGUGUUCGGCAGCAGCUGCUGUCAAAAUCUACGGGGAAUCCCGAAACCAAAGAGGCCUUAGUGUUUAAAAACAAAAGGACUGGCUGAGGGCAGCCUCAGUCAAACGGAGAACACUGGGAGCCCUGUGUGAAGGUUAGUGAAAUGACGGUUCCUUGCGCUCUGCCAGCAGAGACCACAAACCCAGCAGGCAGCUGGCUGUGGGUGCCUGACUCACUGCCUCUGAGCACUUCUUCAUGCCACCAUGGGAUGAAGGUGGGGAGCUGAAGCAGGGCUUUAUCCCUAUAAACUAGGGUGAAGCUAAACUUGGAGCAUAUGCCAAAAAGGGAACAAAAACUCAUCAACGCAACCACGACUGUGGCUAGAGAAGGGGCAAUGGGGUUUCACGGCCUCGCUCCCGUCCCAGCAUCAGGAGCACACGCAAUAGUGACAGAGGGGUAACCCACGUUCCUCCUCCCAGGCAUCGCCUCUCCCUGCUGGGAAGUCGAGCUUUGCAACGUAGGGUUCCCCCAUCCCACCACAACUGCUGCCCUCGGCAGCAGCGUAGCCGAAGGCACGUGGGUUUGUCAUUCGGCUGAGGGUGGGACGAAGAGCCCUGCCAGCAGGAAGAGACAUCAGGAUGUAGAUGUCUCCUACCUCCCCAAAGUUGUUAUGUUAAAUGGAAAGUCAUGCAUGAGUGUUCUAGUGUUCUCAGUGGUGCUGCGGCCCAGAAGGCAGAUGGGUGAUUUAGCUGGCCUCCUCCUUACUUGUGAUACUGUAAGCAAGUGAGACCCAUUUUGUUUUAGCAUUUGGCUAAACAGGUAAAUCUAUUUACCCCUUUGCCACUAACUCGCUAUAUAAGCGCGAGCAAAUCUCGCAGCUCUUCCUCCUCUUCCCCUUAUUCAAAUUUACCCAGCUGAUCACCUGUGAUAUGACUAUAGUAAUGGAGUGAAUUUUAGCCAAUGAAUGUGUACAGAAAAUCCUGGAAGCCUUGCUGAACUAAGAUUACAGCAUGAAUUCUGAGUUUAGAGGUGAGAUUUGAGUACUUUCAUUUUUCUGGCUGAA
rnacentral:lncRNA from 1 species